CCAACGGCCCUCAUUAGGGCCACAAAUGCAUAAAUCAAGUUGUCC
rfam:Enterobius vermicularis genome assembly, scaffold: EVEC_scaffold0006293